UACAGAGGUCCCAAGCGUUGUUCGGAUUCACUGGGCGUAAAGGGUGCGUAGGCGGUCGGGUAAGUCUGAUGUGAAAUCUCACAGCUUAACUGUGAAACUGCAUUGGAUACUAUCCGGCUCGAGGAAUGGAGGGGAGACUGGAAUACUUGGUGUAGCAGUGAAAUGCGUAGAUAUCAAGUGGAACACCAGUGGCGAAGGCGGCCUUCUGGACCAGUACUGACGCUCAUGCACGAAAGCGUGGGGAGCGAACAGG
rnacentral:rRNA from 1 species